CAGAAGGCCCAGCAAACCUAAGGCAGGAAAUGUUCCUAUCUGUGCUGCAGCCAAAGGUGCCGCCUUUCUAUCAAGCUCAUCAACCAGGUCUUCAGCUGCGGCUCCCAAUGCAGGCAUCUGAGCCAGCUAGACACGAACAGAGCCCACCGGAUUCCCGCAAACACCUGCAGGCCUACGAUUCCCUCCCCGUGCAUCUCCGCUAAGCUUUAACUCCACUGAAGUAGGAGUUCAGAGAAGAACCUUGCCAGCUGCCAAGCUUGUCCGCAAGGCCAUGCACCUCUUAAGCUUUAAAAUGCAAAUGUAAAGUGUAGCGAUGAACCCACGCACAGUUUUUGUUGAGAAAAAGGCGCACAUUAACGACCGUACGAAAGAUACUAGCCAAAAACCUCAAUGUGUGUCCCCUGGUACUCUCAGAUUUUUCACUUUUUCUAUGAAGCAUCCCCACCCUGAUGCCAUACUCCUGCUUCCCAAUGUCCACUACAAAGGAAUGGCUUCUUCCCCUCUUCUUUGCCAUUCCCAUCAUCUGGCCAGCAGCUAAGACUUACAGCUUAUCUGCCCUGUUUUCAAUGAAGUAAUAAAAUUGCAUUUCUGAA